GGAUGAACGCUGGCGGCGUGCCUAAUACAUGCAAGUCGAGCGAACAGAUAAGGAGCUUGCUCCUUUGACGUUAGCGGCGGACGGGUGAGUAACACGUGGAUAACCUACCUAUAAGACUGGGAUAACUUCGGGAAACCGGAGCUAAUACCGGAUAACAUAUUGAACCGCAUGGUUCAAUAGUGAAAGGCGGCUUUGCUGUCACUUAUAGAUGGAUCCGCGCCGUAUUAGCUAGUUGGUAAGGUAACGGCUUACCAAGGCAACGAUACGUAGCCGACCUGAGAGGGUGAUCGGCCACACUGGAACUGAGACACGGUCCAGACUCCUACGGGAGGCAGCAGUAGGGAAUCUUCCGCAAUGGGCGAAAGCCUGACGGAGCAACGCCGCGUGAGUGAUGAAGGUCUUCGGAUCGUAAAACUCUGUUAUCAGGGAAGAACAAAUGUGUAAGUAACUGUGCACAUCUUGACGGUACCUGAUCAGAAAGCCACGGCUAACUAC
rnacentral:rRNA from 1 species